AUUUCACCCAAACGCAUUUGCGAGUCGUUUGAGCCUUACCUUUACCCGAUUCUGUCGCCACGAAAGCCAAGGAACAGCACCGUGAAGGGGGCCUGGUGGACAGCCAUCUUAGGAGUCAGAAGACCCCUGUCCCCGCUUCCGGUCUCAUUAGCUGUGUGGUUUUAGCCUCCCUUCUGCAACACCUGGGACUGAAUUGGCUUUGUAUUGGCAUGGAGCCCUCGGACCUCAGCAUCAAAGAGGCAGGGCGUGAAGCCACAAUCAAGAACAAGCAAAGUGAGCGCAGGGACUUUGCUUAUUUGGAUGGUGUCUGCAUGUCUGGAUGACCCACAGGGAAGCAGACCUCCAGUGCCAACAGCGGCUGUGAAGACAAGUCACAAGUGCCUCAGACUAAGCCAGUACCCUCUGCUUCUGCGGAAUCGUUGGAAGAAAAGGGAAGGAGAAACUCAAAGGAAAUCAAACUGCAAGGGCAGAAGUGCAGGCUCUUACCUGGCACUCCUCGGCACUCUGAGCCCCCAUCCUAUAUAAAUGUCCCGCUCAACAGCUGUCCUGAGCACCAGAGUGGAAAUGAACAAGAUCCAGUGACGUGAGUCCAACCUGGUCGAAGAGGACACAUUUGCUUCCUGUUGCUGCUGUGACAAGUCAACACAAGCUUAGUGGCUUAAAAUAACAC
ensembl:lncRNA